GCCAGGCGUGGUGGCGCACACCUAUAAUCCCAGCUACUUGGGAGGCUGAGGCAGGAGAAUUGCUUGAACCCAGGAAGUGGAGGUUGCAGUGAGCUGAGAUCACACCACUACAUUCUAGCCUGGGUGACAGAGUAAGACUCUGUCUCAA
rnacentral:SRP_RNA from 1 species